rnacentral:rRNA from 1 species
GCGAACGCUGGCGGCAGGCUUAACACAUGCAAGUCGAGCGGGCACCUUCGGGUGUCAGCGGCAGACGGGUGAGUAACACGUGGGAACGUACCCUUCGGUUCGGAAUAACGCUGGGAAACUAGCGCUAAUACCGGAUACGCCCUUAUGGGGAAAGGUUUACUGCCGAAGGAUCGGCCCGCGUCUGAUUAGCUAGUUGGUGGGGUAACGGCCUACCAAGGCGACGAUCAGUAGCUGGUCUGAGAGGAUGAUCAGCCACACUGGGACUGAGACACGGCCCAGACUCCUACGGGAGGCAGCAGUGGGGAAUAUUGGACAAUGGGCGCAAGCCUGAUCCAGCCAUGCCGCGUGAGUGAUGAAGGCCUUAGGGUUGUAAAGCUCUUUUGUCCGGGACGAUAAUGACGGUACCGGAAGAAUAAGCCCCGGCUAACUUCGUG